rnacentral:lncRNA from 1 species
GUCUAGGAUCUCGGGACAGUUUCCUGGAUAAUUUCCUCUAGUAUUAUGUCCAGGCUUUUUCUUUGUCGUGGUCUUCUGGUAGUCCAAUUAUUCUUAAAUUGUCUCUUCUUGAAUGAUUUUCUAAAUCGUCUGUUUUGUGAAUGAGAUGCUUCACAUUUUCCUCAAUUUUUUCAUACUUUUUGUUUUGUUUUAUAGUGUUCUGCUGCCUUGUGAGGUCACUUGAUUCUAGUUGUUUUACUCUGGUUCUUAAAGAUUGGAUUUCAUCUCUGGCUUUUUGGUCGUCUUUUUCCUUCUGGUCUGAUUUUCUUUGAAGAUCGUCUUUCAUCCUCUUUACCUUGUCUUUCAUCUCCUUUGCCUCAUUUUCCAGCUGGAUGAUUUUGGCUUUCAGGACACUAUUUUCUUGUUUUAGUUCAAGUGCCUCUGUUUCCAGAUGAUUUAUCUUAAUUUUUAAGUUCUUUUCCCAAUUGUCUUCAGCCUCACUUAGUUGUGUUUUGAGUUCUUCCACAGCCUGUAUCCAAUUCGCUGGGAUUUCUGGUUUAUCAUUUGCUGAUCUCUUCCCCUCUGUUCCAUUUGGUGAUAAUUGGACAACAGGAUUGCUAAAGUCCCUUCCGGCACUAACAUUCCACGAGUCUAUGAUUCUAUGCAGUAGACAUCCAGCAUACAUGGGGGCUAAUGAUAGGAAUGAAAAUCAAGGAAAAUGUUCACGUUUUACAAUGGUGGUGCUGAAAAGAGAGUCCAGGAAUCAUCAAGUUAUUUCUGCUAAAGUCCUGUCUUCCUUAACUGACUUGGUUUUUCUGGCAGAUUGAAGUUCUGGUAAAAACUAGCCAAUCAGUUGAUUGAACAUCAUGGAUUCUGUGGGGACCCUGGUGGGUUGCUUCUUAUAUUUGCUUAUGUUAUUCUUCCCACUUGGACUGACCUGCCUCUGCCUCUCCAUAUCCCAACUUUUGCAUGAAGUUUUCACAGACUAUUCUGACCUUCAUUAAUCCCUUAAAAAAAAAAGAACUUCUACUGAAUUUAUAAUUAACAUCACAUCACUUUUAGUAAUAUUUUAUUUUUCCCAAUUACAUGUAAAAACAAUUUUUAACAUUUAUUUUCUCACAUUUGAAAUCCAAAUUCUCUUGCUCUGUCCCUCCCCUCCUCCUUCCUCUCUUCCCUCCCUGAGGUAGAAGCAAUUUGAUUUAGGUUCUACAUGAAUAUCACAUUACUUCUAUUAAAAAAUAAGGGUAAUGGUUGCCAUUUGUUUUUUAUGUCACAGUAAUUUUUAGAAAUCUGUUUCCUGUCUCUUCCUAAACUUCCCUCCCUUUUUCUUAACUGUAACAAAGAAGAACAGUUAAAUAAAAACACUCAAUAAGAUGACCUUGUCUGACA